GAUGAACGCUAGCGGCAGGCUUAAUACAUGCAAGUCGAGGGGUAGCAAGAUUGUAGCAAUACAAUUGUUGACGACCGGCAAACGGGUGCGGAACACGUACACAACCUUCCUACAAGUGGGGAAUAGCCCAGAGAAAUUUGGAUUAAUACCCCGUAACAUAGCGAUGUGGCAUCACAUUGCUAUUAUAGCUUCGGCGCUUGUUGAUGGGUGUGCGGCUGAUUAGAUAGUUGGCGGGGUAACGGCCCACCAAGUCUACGAUCAGUAGCCGAUGUGAGGGCAUGAUCAGCCACACGGGCACUGAGACACGGGCCCGACUCCUACGGGAGGCAGCAGUAAGGAAUAUUGGACAAUGGACGCAAGUCUGAUCCAGCCAUGCCGCGUGAAGGAUUAAGGUCCUCUGGAUUGUAAACUUCUUUUAUAAGGGACGAAAAAAGGUCUUUCUAGAUCGUCUGACGGUACCUUAUGAAUAAGCACCGGCUAACUCCGUGCCAGCCGCCGCGGUAACAC
rnacentral:rRNA from 1 species